ensembl:lncRNA
CAGAUACACUCCUCCUGGCAGGUUGCAUGGGCACCCAUCAGGCAGCACCUGAUUUGAAUUUAAUUAACAUCACUAUUUAAGUGCUUUUAUUUGCUUUGAGGUAAUACCAAGAGGUCACAGCUAGUGCUGGGAGCUGAAUGCACAGAAGUGGGAGAGGCGAUGAUAGCUUGUUUCCAGCCCAGUCUUAUGGAUGGAUCUUGGACUCGUGCUGUUGCUGCGCUUUUGGCACUACAUGUUUUUGGCUCCUAUGUGGAUUCCUUAGAUGGCUCAUGGGGUCCAUCCAUCACCUUGUGUUCUCUGGGGCUGUGGUAUUCCUUAACACCCAGCUUGCCUUCUGUUAUGGAGAAGCCCAACUCGUGACAUCAGAACAGAGCUGCCUACACCAGAGGAGUUUCUGUUGAGGAGAGAGCAAGGAAAAAAGGCCAUCCUUGCUGCCUGCAGUGUGGAAGAGAGAUAUUCAGCAGCCUUCAUCCCAGAAGAGGGACAGAAAGAAAUCAUGGGACUACCUGUGGCUUUCUCACCUCUGAGCCCACCAACCCGCCGCUGCAGCAGGAGGGCAGCAGGGGCUUCCCCGUCGGCGCUGCUCUGCGGGAGGCUGCAGCCACUCGUGGAUGUCUUGUGCCACCGCGCGGUGCUGCCGCCGCACUGCCGCCGGGCUGAGCCCGUGAAGAGCCUACAGCCCGAAGAACCAGAAACACGGCCUUCGAGCUGCUGCUGCCUGCACGGCUUCCCACCUGCCGGUGUUCUAAGAGCUCUCGAGGAGAAACCAGCAAGUGGCCGAGGAGAUGGGGUCCGCUGAAAGAUGGGAUCGUACCCACCCCGACCCAAGAGGCAGCAAAAACCCAAAGUGAGGAUAGCCCUUUUUGUACUACUGAGCUGAUAUUUUCAUCUGAGAGACAUGAGGAAACAGCGUUGUUUUUUAAGCAAUCAAUGAGCAAUCUUUGCAUCCCUGAAAUUGGACCAGAGCAAUAUUCUGCGCAGCUGUCUCCUGCGGUCUGGCUCCUGGCUGAUUCUGAGCUCUGGAAAACUUUCUCACUAUUAAAUGAUGAUAACAUCAGUGAUGUUAAUGAGGAAAUAGACGCUUAAUGGCGUUCUAACAUAUUUUUGAGAUUGCAUUACGUUUUUCAGGAGACUCCACCAGGGAAGGAUCUGUCUCUCAGACAUGAAAACUCAGUUUCCCCUGGUUUCCUGAAGAAGCAGUGUUUGCAGGAGUAUAAGUAUCUCUGCCAUUCCUUCCUUCUGUUUGACUGUUGUUUGCACAGUAGACAUUUCAAAGAUUCGCAAAAUGUAUGGGAAUUUGGAAAAUAAGAAAAGAUCAGAGAGACACUCGGAGUAAUUUGCCCAGAUUAAAGAGUGGAGUAGGAACUGACCCUUCAUUAGUCAUCAAAGCAUGCUCUUGGGGGGGCAGCUGGAAUACACAAGUCCAGAGAAUAACCGUUUCCUUCUGAUGUGCUGCUCACAAGAUUACAUUAUUCUUCCCUAUACACACAAAGACAAAGGUGGAAAUCACCGUAGUUCUCACACUUCUGCAGUUUUGUAACUUGAGUCAUUUUUAUAAGGUUGAGACAAUACUCUCAAAUUGUUGGGAUGGCAUCUUUGAAGAAUUAGGGCUGCUUUUCUGAUCUAGACAAUUCUGUUAUUUCUAUUUUAUGUUUUUUUUGUAACAAGAAAUUACUGAAAAUCUAUGAUCCAGUAUUUAUAUAUUAUAAACAUCUUCAUAUGGGCUGGUUAAGCAAUAUAGAUUUCAGAUGACAAUCUAAAGAACUCACUGCUCAAGAUAAUUAAUUUGUAGGUAUGAGGCCCAAUACUGAUCUCCAUGUUCCUAAUGAAAAAUAGCCUACCUAGUGAGUUGUCACAGUCAAGCCAGCUAGAUAUCUGUAUUACCUAUAGGAAAUAGCUAGAUCUUGAAAUCAGUUCAGUAAAAAAUAUGUAUAUCCAAACAAAGAACAUGACUAAAAGAAUGUACCACAAAAAGAGGUGAUGGCUUACCAGGAGACCUGAAAAGGGGCCAACUGCCUCAAGCCAUUCUUAGUUUUUUGGGUUUUUUUAAUUAAUAUUCAGAUCUUUCCAAUCAUAGGUUUUGGAUUUAUGAAACGAUAGUUUGAACACACCUACACUAUAUGUAAGCCAAAAUAGAAUAUUUCUAUACAGCCAUACAUGUUCCUCUUGAUUCAUUUCACCUCCUCUUUCCUGCUCUAAUUGUCUUCUGGAAGUCAUUUUGGCAAUUUAUGUUUUUCCGAGUAACAAGGGCCUAUGGUUUCCAUGCCAAUUAGCAAUUCAGUCAACUCCAUCUUCUUUUCACUUUCGGUUUUCUUUCAUCUUCUCAAUUUCAUCUGCCUUUGACUCCUGGAAACAAUUCACUUUGACUUGAAGAUUUUUUCUUAUUAUUAAUACAAUGCCUCAUUAGAUUAAUCUCUGCUUAGAACACAUGUCCUUUGCGCUCACUACUCGUAGACAACCGCUGAAAAGCAGCUGCCUCCGAUGUGCAUUUGGUGGCUGAUGAAGGUCACUUUCUUAAAAAAAAUAAAUAAAAAUAAAAAUCAAAUUUCCUUCUACA